rnacentral:tRNA from 1 species
GCCGAAGUGGUGGAAUAGGUAGACACGCCAUCUCGAGGGGGUGUGGGCGCACGCCCGUGGGAGUUCGAAUCUCCCCUUCGGCACCA